AUACGGAGGGGGCAAGCGUUGUUCGGAUUUACUGGGCGUAAAGCGCGCGUAGGCGGUCUGUUUAGUCAGGCGUGAAAUCCCUGGGCUUAACCCAGGAACUGCGUUUGAAACUGGCGGACUAGAGUUCGGGAGAGGAGAGUGGAAUUCCCAGUGUAGAGGUGAAAUUCGUAGAUAUUGGGAAGAACACCAGUGGCGAAGGCGGCUCUCUGGACCGAUACUGACGCUGAGGUGCGAAAGCGUGGGGAGCAAACAGGAUUAGAAACCCCGGUAGUCC
rnacentral:rRNA from 1 species